UACGUAGGGUGCGAGCGUUAAUCGGAAUUACUGGGCGUAAAGCGUGCGCAGGCGGUUCGUUGUGUCGGCGGUGAAAUCCCCGGGCUCAACCUGGGAAUGGCCGUUGAAACUGGCGAACUGGAGUGUGGCAGAGGGGGGUGGAAUUCCGCGUGUAGCAGUGAAAUGCGUAGAGAUCGGGAGGAACACCAGUGGCGAAGGCGGCUACCUGGACUAGCACUGACACUGAGGCACGAAAGCGUGGGGAGCAAACAGG
rnacentral:rRNA from 1 species